GUGUUAUUGGCACCGAGCAGGGUGGAGAGGAGGAGGCAGGCAGGGGGGUGGGAUUGGUGGGGGAGCUCUCUCGCUCUCGGCUGCCUUCAGCUGUUCCCAUCCAAAUGCCAGGCCAGCGCGCAGCCUGCAGCAGCCCCGUUUAACAGCGCAGCCCCGAGCAGAAGUUGGCGAGUUGCUGCUUGGGAAGGGCGGGCGGCUCCGGCGUUGGGGGGUGGCGGCUGCGGUCUAUGAGGGACUCCCGGGCGCCGCAGGAACCGGCGAGCCAUGGACGGGGGUGGGGGUGUCUCCUCCUCGGCCCUGGAGAAGAACGUGGCGGAGCUGACGGUCAUGGACGUGUACGACAUCGCCUCGCUGGUGGGGCAGGAGUUCGAGCGGGUCAUUGACCAGCACGGCUGCGAGGCCAUCGCCCGCCUCAUGCCCAAGGUGGUGCGGGUGCUGGAGAUCUUGGAGGUGCUGGUGAGCCGCAAUCACAUCAACCCCGAAAUGGAGGAGCUGCGGCUGGAGCUGGAUCGGCUCCGGCUGGAGAGGAUGGACCGGAUCGAGAAGGAGAAGAAGCACCAGAAGGAAUUAGAACUGGUGGAGGAUGUAUGGAGAGGGGAAGCACAGGAUCUUCUUACCCAAAUUGCUCAGCUUCAGGAAGAGAACAAACAGCUGAUGACAAACCUGUCGCACAAAGACAUCAAUUUCACAGAAGAGGAAUUUCAGAAACACGAAGGAAUGUCGGAGAGGGAGAGGCAAGUGAUGAAGAAGCUGAAGGAAGUGGUAGAUAAACAAAGGGAUGAGAUUAGAGCCAAGGACCGGGAACUGGGACUUAAAAAUGAGGAUGUGGAGGCACUGCAACAACAACAGAACAGGCUAAUGAAAAUUAAUCACGACCUUCGGCACAGAAUCACAGUAGUUGAGGCUCAAGGGAAAGCGCUGAUUGAGCAGAAGGUGGAAUUGGAAGCAUAUCUGCAAACCAAGGAACAGGAGAUGGGCACUUUGAGGGCAGAGCUUGGGAAGCUGAGAGAGAAGCUACAGGGGGAGCACAGCCAAAAUGGAGAAGAAAUAAAGACAGAACCUAACAAUGAUGACUUUCUCUCUGAAUCGGAGAAGAUGGCUCUGGAUUUAAAAGAUCCAAACCGUCCAAGAUUUACUCUACAAGAACUACGGGAUGUCUUACACGAGCGGAAUGAACUGAAGUCUAGAGUGUUUUUGUUGCAGGAGGAGCUUUUAUAUUAUAAGAGUGAGGAAACAGAAGAAGAAACUAGAUCCCCUCAACCUACACCCAUAAUUAAUUCAAAAACCUCAACUCAGCCAGAAUCUGGAAUCAAACGACUGUUUAGUUUCUUCUCUCGUGAUAAAAAACGCAUGCAGACGACACAGAAAAACGUUCACUUCCAGGAUACUUUUGGCGAAUGGGCAGAUUCAAACAAAGAGGACUCCUACACCGAACAAGGCCAAGAGGCCCUUCAGCAUCUGUGAUUAACACUCCAAGCUGUGUUGCUUACCACAAUAGGUCUGAACAUUCUAGUAACAAGAAGCUUCCAUAACCAAAUCUGGCAGCUCAUCAUUUUUUAUUUGCCUGGCCCAUGUUGACGGUUGUUUGACAUACUUUUCCAAAGGGAUUCCUCAGUGUUUACUUGGCGACUGCUCUCCGAAAACAGAAUCCAGGCUCUGUAGUAAUGGUUAUUUAUACUCUCGGGUAUCAAAGCUUCUAGAUAACUGGUUUUGUGCUGAAUAACAAGUCUGUCUGACUCUUGCAUUAACUACAGUAACACAAGCUUCUUUAAACCAAAAAGCCCCCUGUGCCAUUAUUAGAGAUUUAUUUGCAUUGCACAAUAUCUAGUGGUGAAGACUCUGAUACCAUGUUUGUUAACUGGGGGGGGGAGGGGGGGGAUUUUUCUUAGUUCUGUUAAUGACACUUUCAAAGAGAGUUUGCAGUGUAUACACUAUUUCCAGGGCAGGUCCUACCACAGCUGUAUCCUGUCAAACUCACAGGUUGCAGAGAAACUUCUUGGAACUUCAACUGAUAAAAAUACAGAAACUGGAACAGCUGUGAGGGACUGUGAUUGUAUAUUCCCCUUGUUGUUUAUAGUGCCUAAAGCAUGUAGAUACUGAUGUACAAGGUGAGUGUGCCUUGCCUUUUGCUCUGAGUUAUGCAGUAUUAACAGAAAAUGAAUUGCUCACAUGGAGGAAUUCUAAACACUCUGCUUUUUUUUCUUCUUCUUCGUACCAUGCCCUUUUUCCCUCCACCCCUCCUCUCUCUGUGUAAUAUCAGACCUCUGCUGUACAGGAAAUAGAUCACUUUCCCACAAAAGGCUUUGAACAAAGCCCCAGGCACCACUUACACAAGUUCUUAUUCCCUAUCUGAAAACCAUUUUAACAUAAGUAUAGUGGAGGUUUUAAGUCAGAUGAUAACUCCUUUGUUCUGUGUAGACAGUCCCAAUCUCACCUCCAGCCCUCCCCAAAAUUCUGUUGGGACUGUGGGGACAAUAGACUCUAAAACCCCAAUCAUGCAGGCUAUGCCCUAAGCUAACAUAUGUUAUACUGCAGGGGUGCUCUGUAUGGACCCUUAGUUACAUGCAACAGCUUGGAGCAGUGGGGCCUAACUCUAUAAUGAAAAUCCCACCUCUGUACACGGAUGAUCUAUGGGAAGGUCUGAUCUGAAACUCAGUUGUUGAUAUAAGCCCAUCCCCAAUUUAACUGUAUUUGAACAACUGAGUAGUGGCCAUAAACACCCACUAGCAAAUCCAUCUGUAAGACAGUUGUUACUGGAAUGGGUGCCCACCCAGACCAUAUUGAGACACACUCCCUGAGAGCCAUGCUACCCAAACUGUGCUACACAUUAUCCCCCUAACGUGAGAGAGGCCUUGUCCACUCUGUUGAAGCAGAGAGAUAACUAUUCUUUGUUACAAUGGAGUUUAAGCCAUUUUUGGGGCUCAGCUGUACUAUAGAAAGAGUCAUACUACUGCACAGUUCUGCCAUCGGUGAGAUGUAUCUGCAUAUAUUUGCCUAUUGGCUUGUCUGCUCUAGAGUAACAUUCUUAAAAAAAAAAAAAAAAUAA